GAUCGAUACGUCACGUGUGUUAUAUCCGGCUUGAGUGUGUAGGCCUACAUUCAAUUUAAGGAUUUACGAACGUCUUCCACAUUUAGUAUGGACCAAAGUGUUGUUAUAAAUUGUAUAAUUCAUGACAGAUGUUGAGGUUCGAACACUGCUACAAAGAGGUGCACACUAUAUAUGUAUGGCAUGGCAACAUAUCAUAGGAAAGACUGAUGUUCACUAGGAUGAUAGGAUAAGGACUUACAAUACCCUCGCAUUCUUUUGAUUAAAGUUAUUGCUUAUUUCAACCCUGCAAUACAAGGCAGGAUUUGUAUGGACACAUGAAAGUUCUGUAGAGUAAGGAUUGGAAUGUGAAAACCUAAAGAGAAACAAACGGAUCAACAGACAAACAGGAAGGCGACGGGAAAGUCAGAAAAGUCGAAGACAAAUUAAAAGAGGCUAUCAGAGACAAUAACUUUAGGAGGGACCAGCUUGUAAGGCCUAUCUGAAUCUCCUUGGACGUUAUUGACCAUCAUCAAAUGGCCAAUGAAAUUUGUUUGUUGAAUAAUCAGGACGGAACAACGAGUGAUAGAUCUACUAAUACUGAUUCUCUUUUGAAACAGCUCAUUGAAACCAAAAUGAAGUUGGCAAAACUUGAAGAAGAGAAGUACAUAAUGCUAAAAAAAUUUGAAAUAUCAGAAAAAUUAAAAACAGUUAAUAAAGAUAAGAGAAAAGAAUUGGAUGUGCUGGAAAUAGAAACUGAAACGAAGAAAUUGGUUCAAACAAUUGUAAACAAAGUUGAAUACUUGAGAAAUCUAGACCAGCCUCCAGAGUCCUGGCAGAGAGAGCUUUCAGCACAAAUUAUGCAGCAGUUUGACAAAUUUAGCCUAAGAAGACAAGAACAGGAUGAUUUUUUUCUUCAACAAAGCCAGGAAACAAUAAAAAUCCUAAGAGCUAAAUUGAAUGAAUUUGAAAAAACAAUUUCAAGUUUAGAUCACAUUGUUAAAGAACAAAAUACAAAAUUAAAAAGUUGUGCAGAGAUGAAAAAAUUAUGUGAAAAAGAAAAGGAUCUUUUAAAGAAAUCAAAUAUGAUAUUAGCCAAAGAAAAAGCUUUUUAUAUGGAAAAUGAAAGGAGAAAAGUUGAAGACAAGUUAAAAAUUGCUGAUCAGUUAAAGAAUAUUACAAUGAUUAAAGAAAGACAGAGUAAUGAAGAGGCAGAAAAAUUACGAAUGAAGCUGUUAGAUUUAACAAAGAAAUUUAUUGAUGCCAAAAGAAAGUUAGCAAACAUAGAAGAAGAAAGACAGAGAAAUGAGACCAGAAUAAAUAUUGAGAAACAGUUAAGAAUCAUAAAAUCUGGCAACCGAUGAAAUUCUGAACAGGUAGAGGACCCAUGAUAAACAUUAUACAGAGAAAUAUAAUUUCAUUCAAUAAGGUAAAAAUGUUUACCAUUCCCUGUUCACUCAUUGGAAGCCAUAGCCAAAGUCACCUCAGUUCUUUCCAGGCUUCAAGAGGACAAGAAUGCACUUGCUCAAAGUAAAGACUGCAUCUAAUCCAUAAGACGAAAUGAAUGUCUUAUUGUUCAUGGCCUCAUGGGUAGCUUUGAUCUCUGUGUGGAUUUUAAGUUUAUAUCUUCUUUACAGUAUAUUUUACUAAGAUGUACAUUGAUGCACACAUGAAUAUUUAUACUCCCAAACUUGAAUUGGUCUACUAGUAUCUAAAAUAUCUAAUACAAGAUUUGCUGCAUUUUUAUAUAUAUAUAUAUAUUUUAUACAAAACUAUUUAUUAAAAAAAAUUAAUUUCAAAAAAAUAUUUUACAAAAAACAACACUGCUUUAGGUUUUUUGUUUUUUUUCUUGAAAAACUGGCAAUGACAGCAAAUAAAAUUAGUUUGAAUA